rnacentral:rRNA from 1 species
UACGUAGGGUGCAAGCGUUGUCCGGAAUUAUUGGGCGUAAAGAGCUCGUAGGCGGUUUGUCGCGUCUGCUGUGAAAACUCGGGGCUUAACUCCGGGCCUGCAGUGGGUACGGGCAGACUAGAGUGCGGUAGGGGAGACUGGAAUUCCUGGUGUAGCGGUGGAAUGCGCAGAUAUCAGGAGGAACACCAAUAGCGAAGGCAGCUCGCUGGGACGGUAUUGACGCUGAGGCGCGAAAGCGUGGGGAGCAAACAGG